CAUGAACCCGUAUAGAUAUAUACACACAGGUGCUAUCUCCAUUCUUUGUCUCCCUUAAUGAUACAGAAUCAGAUGAUGAGAAUCUGACUAGAGAGGAUAUAACUAAAAAGAUGGUUAUAGUUAAAAACGAGCUUUACGAAAACGACCUAAAAAACUCUAAAGCAGAAGUUCUAGAAAGAGACCCGACGAAAACUACAGAAAGAAGAGUAAACAAACUCUUGAAGCAUAAAGACCUCCCAGGAUUUUUGAAAGUUAAUAGAAUAGCGAAUCCAGCUUCUCCCAGACUAUUCAGCUUUGCUAAGACUCAUAAAACCCUCUCUGUCCUUUAGGCCGAUAGUUGAGAAGUAUAGAGCUCCUACAUACAGUUCAGAAAACACCUUAGCAC
rnacentral:lncRNA from 1 species